UCGAGCGGACAGAAGGGAGCUUGCUCCCGGAUGUUAGCGGCGGACGGGUGAGUAACACGUGGGUAACCUGCCUGUAAGACUGGGAUAACUCCGGGAAACCGGAGCUAAUACCGGAUAGUUCCUUGAACCGCAUGGGUCAAGGAUGAAAGACGGUUUCGGCUGUCACUUACAGAUGGACCCGCGGCGCAUUAGCUAGUUGGUGGGGUAAUGGCUCACCAAGGCGACGAUGCGUAGCCGACCUGAGAGGGUGAUCGGCCACACUGGGACUGAGACACGGCCCACACUCCUACGGGAGGCAGCAGUAGGGAAUCUUCCGCAAUGGACGAAAGUCUGACGGAGCAACGCCGCGUGAGUGAUGAAGGUUUUCGGAUCGUAAAGCUCUGUUGUUAGGGAAGAACAAGUGCGAGAGUAACUGCUCGCACCUUGACGGUACCUAACCAGAAAGCCACGGCUAACUACGUGCCAGCAGCCGCGGUAAUACGUAGGUGGCAAGCGUUGUCCGGAAUUAUUGUGCGUAAAGGGCUCGCAGGCGGUUUCUUAAGUCUGAUGUGAAAGCCCCCCGGCUCACCCGGGGAGGGUCAUUGGAAACUGGGAAACUUGAGUGCAGAAGAGGAGAGUGGAAUUCCACGUGUAGCGGUGAAAUGCGUAAAGAUGUGGAAGGAACACCAGUGGCGAAGGCGACUCUCUGGUCUGUUACUGACGCUGAGGAGCGGAAGCGUG
rnacentral:rRNA from 1 species